rnacentral:rRNA from 13 species
CGAUAGUGAACUAGUACCGUGAGGGAAAGGUGAAAAGUACUCCGAACAGGAGAGUGAAAUAGUACCUGAAACCAUACACUUACAAGCUGUAGGAGCCCGUCUUUGACGGGUGACUGCGUGCCUUUUGCAUAAUGAGCCUACGAGUUACUCCUCACUGGCGAGGUUAAGGGUUUAGAAGCCCGGAUCCGGAGCGAAAGCGAGUCUUAACAGGGCGCUUAGUCAGUGGGGGUAGACGCGAAACCUUGUGAUCUACCCUUGUCCAGGAUGAAGUUGUGGUAACACACAAUGGAGGUCCGAACCAGUUAACGUUGAAAAGUUUUUGGAUGAGGUGAGG